AAUAAGUGCAGUUUCGCGUUAUUCAUGUUCAACGUUUGACCGUUCGUUUUAUUUAAAUUUUUUUAUGAUUAGUAUUUUUAUUACUAUUAGAUGAUAAAACAUGAAUAGCACUUUUGUGUGACUAAUUUUUUUUUUAUUUUUUUUUACAAAAUUUUCAAAUAAGACAAACGGUCAAACUGGACACGGAUAUCCACGGUUGCACUUAUU
rfam:Oryza glumipatula chromosome 7, whole genome shotgun sequence.